rnacentral:rRNA from 1 species
CCUACGGGAGGCAGCAGUGGGGAAUAUUGGACAAUGGGCGAAAGCCUGAUCCAGCAAUGCCGCGUGAGUGAUGAAGGCCUUAGGGUUGUAAAGCUCUUUUACCAGGGAUGAUAAUGACAGUACCUGGAGAAUAAGCUCCGGCUAACUCCGUGCCAGCAGCCGCGGUAAUACGGAGGGAGCUAGCGUUGUUCGGAAUUACUGGGCGUAAAGCGUACGUAGGCGGUUAUUCAAGUCAGAGGUGAAAGCCUGGAGCUCAACUCCAGAACUGCCUUUGAAACUAGAUAGCUAGAAUCUUGGAGAGGUGAGUGGAAUUCCGAGUGUAGAGGUGAAAUUCGUAGAUAUUCGGAAGAACACCAGUGGCGAAGGCGACUCACUGGACAAGUAUUGACGCUGAGGUACGAAAGCGUGGGGAGCAAACAGGUAUUAGACUACCCUGGUAGUCCACGCCGUAAACGAUAGAUAACUAGCUGUCGGCUCUACGAGCUUAGAGUGGCGC